rnacentral:rRNA from 1 species
GACGGAGGAUGCAAGCGUUAUCCGGAAUGAUUGGGCGUAAAGCGUCUGUAGGUGGCUUCUUAAGUCCGCUGUCAAAUCCCAGGGCUUAACCCUGGCCAGGCGGUGGAGACUACUAAGCUUGAGUACGGUAGGGGCAGAGGGAAUUUCCGGUGGAGCGGUGAAAUGCGUAGAGAUCGGAAAGAACACCAAGGGCGAAGGCACUCUGCUGGGCCGACACUGACACUGAGAGACGACAUCUAGGGGAGCAAAUGGG